GCCAGAUUUACAAACUCGCUCUCCGCUACACGUUGACAAAUACAGUUCUGUGUGAAAGUGUCAGCACCCUAACUGUAUAUAUGUGCCUAAGACUUUUGCACAGCAGAACGGCGGCAGGGUACGGUCACUGUGGAAGGCCGAUCUCUGGUUGCAUGAGGCGCGUCUUUUCCCGAGCUGCCGAGGCGGAGGCCCUCGGCUGGCUGCGGUCGAUGGUGGAUAUUGCGGCCCAUUUGUCCGUCCAUAUGGAGAGCAGGCUGUUGCCUAUGUAGCCGGUUCCCCCUCUCCCUGCAGUGGAUGAACCCAAAGGAACGCCGGAGGCCGAUACAGUCCGGCACCGGCGGCGUCACAGGAGUUGCCCGGCAGUGUUGAACUCAACACAGGACUGCCUUAGGGACUCCAGCCCUGGAUUUUCCCUCGGGGUUUACUCCCGAAGCCUUCCCCAUGAGUGGGUGUAGCUGCGGAGGUUUGAGAUCAGAGUUUUCCACUUCCGGUCUGUGGGGAGGGAGUCGGGAAUCGUUAUUGUUGCUGUUUUAUUUCUCUGUGGGGGAAGGGUCCGGGAUUGUAUUGUUGCUGUUGUUUUCUGUGGGGAGGGGUUUGGAGUUUAUUAUUGUUGCUGUUAUUUC